AGCCCUAUCUGACAGUUAAACUGUCAGGAUCCAACUGUUAAAUUCCUAAUCUCUCCUGAUUGGAUGGACACUCCACCCAGCCCUGUAUGGUUUCUGGGUCACCAGGAGGCUGACCCAAGGUCUGUCUGGCACACUGGCAAAGAAGCAGGACUCCCAUCUCAGAAACCCUAGUGGAACCACUACCUCCCCUACUCAAUUGACUUCAACAGCUACUAAAGCAAGCUGGGUCAUUUUAAAUGAAGAAGUUCCCAUCAGAGAAGGUGGAACAAGCUACUGAGUCAGAGCUGCAGCACCUAUUUAAGGCUCAGUGUCAGGAUGACUGGUGCUGAAGCAACUGUUGAACUCUGCUCCUAUGAAGACUCCAGCCAGAGCCCUGCAUGGAGCUGUCCAGGGUGCCAUGGAUGCCUCACCUCACCACUGCUGAAGCCACUGCUCUAAAGGGAAUGAGUUUCUCAGUAUAGGGAUGGAUGCACUAGGGAGAAGCUCACUGAGUGAGUUCAGUCAGCCGCUGAAAUCCGUCAUGAGUUAAUUGGUCCUCAUAAACCACAGCUAUCGGCACUGCCAAAGAAAACUGGAGUAUAUGUAAUAAAAGAGAAAUUAUGGGUU